GGAAAGUCAUGUCCCUGCUGUCA
rnacentral:piRNA from 1 species